rnacentral:rRNA from 1 species
AGAGUUUGAUCCUGGCUCAGAUUGAACGCUGGCGGCAGGCUUAACACAUGCAAGUCGAGCGGGGAAAGGUAGCUUGCUACUGGACCUAGCGGCGGACGGGUGAGUAAUACUUAGGAAUCUGCCUAUUAGUGGGGGACAACGUUCCGAAAGGAGCGCUAAUACCGCAUACGCCCUACGGGGGAAAGCAGGGGAUCACUUGUGACCUUGCGCUAAUAGAUGAGCCUAAGUCGGAUUAGCUAGUUGGUGGGGUAAAGGCCUACCAAGGCGACGAUCUGUAGCGGGUCUGAGAGGAUGAUCCGCCACACUGGGACUGAGACACGGCCCAGACUCCUACGGGAGGCAGCA